UACAACUUUCAGCAACGGAUCUCUAGGCUCUCGUAUCGAUGAAGAACGCAGCGAAAUGCGAUAAGUAAUGUGAAUUGCAGAAUUCAGUGAAUCAUCGAAUCUUUGAACGCACCUUGCACCCUUUGGUAUUCCGAAGGGUAUGCCUGUUUGAGUGUCAUUAAAUUCUCAAG
rnacentral:rRNA from 1 species